CGAUAUCGACGUAGUUGAUCCUGGCUCAAGACGAACGCUGGCGGCAGGCCUAACACAUGCAAGUCGAGCGAACCCUUCGGGGUUAGCGGCGGACGGGUUAGUAACGCGUGGGAACGUGCCCAAAGGUACGGAAUAGCCUCGGGAAACUGAGAGUAAUACCGUAUGUGCCCUUCGGGGGAAAGAUUUAUCGCCAAAGGAUUAGCCCGCGUUGGAUUAGAUAGUUGGUGGGGUAAUGGCCUACCAAGUCUACGAUCCAUAGCUGGUUUGAGAGGAUGAUCAGCAACACUGGGACUGAGACACGGCCCAGACUCCUACGGGAGGCAGCAGUGGGGAAUCUUAGACAAUGGGCGCAAGCCUGAUCUAGCCAUGCCGCGUGGACGAUGAAGGCCUUAGGGUUGUAAAGUCCUUUCAGAUGGGAAGAUAAUGACGGUACCAUCAGAAGAAGCCCCGGCUAACUCCGUG
rnacentral:rRNA from 1 species